GCCAGCUUGGUGUAGUGCUUGGCAUGUUGGACUAUGACUCUGGGGACCAGGGUUCAAUUCCCAGGUUGGCC